GAGGGGGUGGAAGGCUAGUUGGUAAGGGCGUAUGGCUACCAACCUGAAGGUUGUGGGUUUGAUUCCUGCCCUUCGCA